rnacentral:rRNA from 1 species
AUUGAACGCUGGCGGCAGGCCUAACACAUGCAAGUCGAACGGUAACAGGAAGAAGCUUGCUUCUUUGCUGACGAGUGGCGGACGGGUGAGUAAUGUCUGUGAAACUGCCUGAUGGAGGGGGAUAACUACUGGAAACGGUAGCUAAUACCGCAUAACGUCGCAAGACCAAAGAGGGGGACCUUCGGGCCUCUUGCCAUCGGAUGUGCCCAGAUGGGAUUAGCUAGUAGGUGGGGUAACGGUUCACCUAGGCCACGAUCCCUAGCUGGUCUGAGAGGAUGACCAGCCACACUGGAACUGAGACACGGUCCAGACUCCUACGGGAGGCAGCAGUGGGGAAUAUUGCACAAUGGGCGCAAGCCUGAUGCAGCCAUGCCGCGUGUAUGAAGAAGGCCUUCGGGUUGUAAAGUACUUUCAGCGGGGAGGAAGGGAGUAAAGUUAAUACCUUCGCUCAUUGACGUUACCCGCAGAAGAAGCACCGGCUAACUCCGUG